rnacentral:rRNA from 1 species
CCUACGGGAGGCAGCAGUGAGGAAUAUUGGUCAAUGGGCGCGAGCCUGAACCAGCCAAGCAGCGUGAAGGAUGACUGCCCUACGGGUUGUAAACUUCUUUUAUAAAGGAGUAAAGUGAGGCACGCGUGCCUUUUUGUAUGUACUUUAUGAAUAAGGAUCGGCUAAGUCCGUGCCAGCAGCCGCGGUAAUACGGAGGACCCGAGCGUUAUCCGGAUUGAUUGGGUUUAAAGGGAGCGUAGAUGGGUUGUUAAGUCAGUGGUGAAAGUUUGCGGCUCAACCGUAAAAUUGCAAUUGAUACUGGCAGUCUUGAGUACAGUUGAGGUAGGCGGAAUUCGUGGUGUAGCGGUGAAAUGCUUAGAUAUCACGAAGAACUCCGAUUGCGAAGGCAGCUUACUAAACUGCCACUGACAUUGAUGCUCGAAAGCGUGGGUAUCAAACAGGAUUAGAUACCCGAGUAGUC